rnacentral:sRNA from 1 species
ACUUCACGGGCAGCUUAAGGCCUGGAAUGUGGCUUAGACAAAUCUGGUCACCCUGUGAUCUCCCUUGCGCAGUAGCUGGAGGAGAAGCCUGAGGGGGUCUGACCUGGAAUGACCCUCUCCUGGGUCCUGGUCUAGGAUGUGCCCGUGGGACACAAGCUUCCCUUUGCCCCAGUUUCAGCUAGCAGAGGCCAGAGGGCUAGGGGUGGGAAGAAACGGUGAUGAGAUGUGACUGAGUAAAGCAGGUGAGAGUUGGAGACAGAUCUUAGGAAGAACUUCUGGCAUUGAUGGUUCUUUGAUAGGAGACUGGCCUUGUAUUUGUGAGGGAGAAAAGGGAAGCUUUGGAGGGCACGGACCUCAUCCCCACGGGGGCUGCAGAGCAGCUACUCUGAGGAAUAUCUGAGGAACCUCCUUUGCAGGAAGAAGCUGGGAAGCAGCUCCCACACCUCCAAGCAUGGCUUCCUGUCCUGGGCCUGGGUCUGCUUGAGACACUGCAUCUACACUCCACAGCCAGGUACGGGGUUGGGAGCUGAGGCUGAGCGUGACAGGGGACGUUACCCUCCCUUGCACAGAAUGGCUGCAGUGGAGGACUGGCUCCUGCUCCCCAGAAUCCUUGUCAUCAAGAGGGACAACUACCAGCUUGGGACAGCGGGAAGACCCUGGCCUGGCCUUGGUCAUUCAGGGUCCUGCUGGCCUUUUCCUGGGCCCCUUGGGAGGGAGGAGGGCUCCCGGGCCUGAGUGGUGCUGUUCACCACACUCCUUCCUUUGAGGACUACAGGAUUCCGUCUCCCGCUG